rnacentral:rRNA from 1 species
GACGAACGCUGGCGGCGUGCCUAAUACAUGCAAGUUGAACGCUAAAGCUUUAACUGGUGCUUGCACCGACUUAAGUUUUUAGAGUAGCGGACGGGUGAGUAACACGUGGGUAACCUGCCCAUCAGAGGGGGAUAACACUUGGAAACAGGUGCUAAUACCGCAUAAUUCCUUUUACCGCAUGGUAAAAGGAAUUAUGCGGUAUUAGCAC